rnacentral:rRNA from 1 species
CCUGCGCCUGCCGGCGACCGGCGCACGGGUGAGUAACACGUAUGGAACCUGCCCGCCACAGGGGGAUAACCCGGGGAAACCCGGCCUAAUACCCCAUGCCGCUCGGACCGGGCAUCCGGUCCGGGCGAAAGGAGGAAUCCGGUGGCGGCUGGGCAUGCGGCGCAUUAGCUUGACGGCGGGGUAACGGCCCACCGUGGCGACGAUGCGUAGGGGUUCUGAGAGGAAGGCCCCCCACACUGGAACUGAGACACGGUCCAGACUCCUACGGGAGGCAGCAG